rnacentral:rRNA from 1 species
ACAGGGGGAUAACAGUUAGAAAUGGCUGCUAAUACCGCAUAAGACCACAGCACCGCAUGGUGCAGGGGUAAAAACUCCGGUGGUAUGAGAUGGACCCGCGUCUGAUUAGCUAGUUGGUGGGGUAACGGCCUACCAAGGCGACGAUCAGUAGCCGACCUGAGAGGGUGACCGGCCACAUUGGGACUGAGACACGGCCCAAACUCCUACGGGAGGCAGCAGUGGGGAAUAUUGCACAAUGGGGGAAGCCCUGAUGCAGCGACGCCGCGUGAGCGAAGAAGUAUUUCGGUAUGUAAAGCUCUAUCAGCAGGGAAGAAAAUGACGGUACCUGACUAAGAAGCCCCGGCUAACUACGUGCCAGCAGCCGCGGUAAUACGUAGGGGGCAAGCGUUAUCCGGAUUUACUGGGUGUAAAGGGAGCGUAGACGGAUGGACAAGUCUGAUGUGAAAGACUGGGGCUCAACCCCGGGACUGCAUUGGAAACUGCCCGUCUUGAGUGCCGGAGAGGUAAGCGGAAUUCCUAGUGUAGCGGUGAAAUGCGUAGAUAUUAGGAGGAACACCAGUGGCGAAGGCGGCUUACUGGACGG